GCUACCGCUAUUGGAAUCCGAUUAAGCCAUGCGAGUCGAGAGAUUUCGGAUCUCGGCAGACGUCUCAGUAACACGUGGAUAAUCUACCCUUGAGUGGGGGAUAAGCUUGGAAACCUGAGUAUAAUACCCCAUAGGCCUAGGAUGCUGGAAUGCUUCUAGGCUGAAAGCUCCGGCGCUCGAGGAUGAAUCUGCGGCCUAUCAGGCUGUAGUGGGUGUAACGGACCCACUAACCUUCGACGGGUACGGGCCUUGAGAGAGGUUGCCCGGAGUUGGACUCUGAGACACGAGUCCAGGCCCUACGGGGUGCAGCAGGCGCGAUAACUUCACAAUGUGGGAAACCACGAUGAGGGGAUUCCAAGUGCCAGCACAAUGUGUUGGCUGUUCACUUGCCUAAAAAGCUGGUGAAGUAAGGGCCGGGUAAGACGGGUGCCAGCCGCCGCGGUAAUACCCGCGGCCCGAGUGGUGGCCAUUGUUAUUGAGCCUAAAGCGUCGUAGCCGGUUUCGUAAAUUUCUGGGUAAAUCGGACAGCUUAACUGUCCGAAUUCCGGAAAGACUGCGAAACUUGGGACCGGAGGAGGUUGGAGGUACUCCUGGGGUAGGGGUGAAAUCCUGUAAUCCUGGGGGGACCACCAGUGGCGAAGGCGUCCAACCAAGACGGCUCCGACGGUAAGGGACGAAGCCCUGGGGCGCAAACGGGAUUAGAUACCCCGGUAGUCCAGGGUGUAAACGCUGCAGGCUUGGUGUUGGGGGUCCUACGAGGGCGCCCAGUGCCGGAGAGGAGUUGUUAAGCCUGCCGCUUGGGGAGUACGUCCGCAAGGAUGAAACUUAAAGGAAUUGGCGGGGGAGCACAGCAACGGGUGGAGCGUGCGGUUCAAUUGGAUUCA
rnacentral:rRNA from 1 species